UAUUCAUCGAGAUCUCAAAGUCAUUAACAUUCUCUUGGAUGAAGACAUGACCCUAAAAAUUUCAGACUUUGGGAUGGCAAGGAUAUUUGGUGGGAAACAAACUAUCGAUAAUACUAACCGGGUCGUUGGUACAUUUGGUUAUAUGUCUCCGGAGUACGUAAUGGGAGGGACAUUUUCGGAGAAGUCUGAUGUCUUCAGUUUUGGAGUGUAAUUAGUGCUUGAACUUGUAAGUGGCAAGAGAAAUAACAGCUUCUACAGUUCCGAACAACCUUCAAACCUUCUUCUUCAUGCUUGGGGUCUUUGAAAUGAAGGAAAAUGGUCAGAUAUUGUCGAUGAGGAUUUGGGUGAUCUAGGUUCUCCUUUCGAAGUGAUGAAAUGCAUACAUAUUGGUCUGCUAUGUUGUCAGAAUAGAGCAGUAGAUAGGCCGACCAUGGCUGAAAUGGAUCUCAUGCUUAACUGUGAUAUUGAUCGUCCAUCU